rnacentral:rRNA from 3 species
GUCGAGCGGACAGAUGGGAGCUUGCUCCCUGAUGUUAGCGGCGGACGGGUGAGUAACACGUGGGUAACCUGCCUGUAAGACUGGGAUAACUCCGGGAAACCGGGGCUAAUACCGGAUGGUUGUUUGAACCGCAUGGUUCAGACAUAAAAGGUGGCUUCGGCUACCACUUACAGAUGGACCCGCGGCGCAUUAGCUAGUUGGUGAGGUAACGGCUCACCAAGGCGACGAUGCGUAGCCGACCUGAGAGGGUGAUCGGCCACACUGGGACUGAGACACGGCCCAGACUCCUACGGGAGGCAGCAGUAGGGAAUCUUCCGCAAUGGACGAAAGUCUGACGGAGCAACGCCGCGUGAGUGAUGAAGGUUUUCGGAUCGUAAAGCUCUGUUGUUAGGGAAGAACAAGUGCCGUUCAAAUAGGGCGGCACCUUGACGGUACCUAACCAGAAAGCCACGGCUAACUACGUGCCAGCAGCCGCGGUAAUACGUAGGUGGCAAGCGUUGUCCGGAAUUAUUGGGCGUAAAGGGCUCGCAGGCGGUUUCUUAAGUCUGAUGUGAAAGCCCCCGGCUCAACCGGGGAGGGUCAUUGGAAACUGGGGAACUUGAGUGCAGAAGAGGAGAGUGGAAUUCCACGUGUAGCGGUGAAAUGCGUAGAGAUGUGGAGGAACACCAGUGGCGAAGGCGACUCUCUGGUCUGUAACUGACGCUGAGGAGCGAA